GUUGGUCAUAGGCUUUGAUCCGGUCCCGACCGGUGGCGGAAGGACCCAGGAACUGGCCCAGCCUGAUGCCCACUCGAGCCCUAAUCGGACAAGCCUGGGCCGGCGAUUAUGGAGCCGGAGUAGAUGAGCUUGCCGAUCUCGUCGACGACGCUAAUGCCGCAGUAUAAAGUGGGGCGGCGCACGUUCUCAGGGUCCCUACGCCAGUUUCUCUAUCUCAGACUUACGUAGCGAGUUCUCAUGCCGCUCCUGCACUGCCUGAGGGGAGCUUACACCCAUUAAGCAUCAGAGCAGUGAAAUGAUGGUCCAAUGAUCAUAAGUUGAUAUAAUAAAUGUAACUGGCUAGUUUUUCAAAUGGCUACCUUGAUUUGGGUUCGUCGAUUUUGGAACCAGAACUUGACUUGCCUGGCAGAAAGUCCUAGCUGGUUGCUCAAUUGCUGCCUCUGCUUCUCAUCUGGAUGGGGUGAUUCCUUGAACAGCCUGCUUUGACCAUUUACAAUGUCAGAAUUGAUUGUUUGACUUCACUUAUGACAGUCAUUAUUAGCUCUGUUUUCUGGUCUAUAUUCCUGAUCCAAAUUUGACCAGCAUGUUUAUCCUAGAUGUUCAUUCUAUUUA